rnacentral:rRNA from 1 species
UACUCCUACGGGAGGCAGCAGUGAGGAAUAUUGGACAAUGGAUGGAAAUCUGAUCCAGCCAUGCCGCGUGCAGGAAGACGGCCCUAUGGGUUGUAAACUGCUUUUGUAUGGGAGCAAUAAGGGCUACGUGUAGUUUGAUGAGAGUACCAUACGAAUAAGCACCGGCUAACUCCGUGCCAGCAGCCGCGGUAAUA